rnacentral:rRNA from 1 species
CCUACGGGGGGCAGCAGUAGGGAAUCUUUCACAAUGGGCGAAAGCCUGAUGGAGCAACGCCGCGUGCAGGAUGAAGGUCUUCGGGUUGUAAACUGCUUUUAUAAGCGAGAAAUAUGAUGGUAACUUAUGAAUAAGGAUCGGAUAACUACGUGCCAGCAGCCGCGGUCAUACGUAGGAUCCGAGAAGUAUCCGGAGUGACUUGGUGCAAAGAGUUGCGUAGGUGGCAUAAUAAGUAGCUAGUGAAAUCUGGUGGCUCAACCAUUCAGACUAUUAGCUAAACUGUUAAGCUCGAGACCGUUAGGGGUAACUGGAAUUUCUAGUGUAGGAGUGAAAUCCGUAGAUAUUAGAAGGAACACCAAUAGCGUAGGCAGGUUGCUGGGACGGUUCUGACACUAAGGGACGAAAGCGUAGGGAGCAAACGGGAUUAGAUACCCUUGUAGUC